UCGUCUUCUUUGAUCUUUGCUUUGGGAGAACAUGGGCUAUCUCUUUUUCAUUUUUUUCAGGUGGGUAGUAGAUACCCCUAAUUCUACUGUCGGACACUUGUCCAUUUUUUCCGCUCAGGUGGGCAUUUUUGUACACCUAAUUCUACUUCGGACACUUGUCCAUUUUUACAUCUCGUCUCACUCUUUUUCUUUCUUUUUCGAGGUUCCGGGCACUAGCCCCUUUUUAUUUCCUCGCAUAUUUU
rnacentral:lncRNA from 1 species